ACAUAGUGCCAUAUAUUUAGGAAAGGAUAGGGUAAUUAACAAAAUCAAAGCAACCAAUCAGGCAUGCUAAUACUCAAUAAAUAAAUAAAAGAGCUCUUAAGAAAGGAGACAUUUGUCGCAGUCCUUAGCCUACAACAAAAGGCCGGACCCUCAACAAGUAAGGAUCCGACGGUCCGAACGGCUCCAAACAUAAAGGGUCAAAGCAGGUGCCGUUAAAUCAUUUAGUCCAAAAAGUCAAUCAGUUUCUCCCCCUUCAAUGAACAACCAAUCGCCGCUCAACUAAUACAGCUUUUGUCUCUCGAUCGCUCUCUCUGUGAGUGUGCCGUGCGGAACUCACUUUGUCCUUCCGUUGAUUAAGCAAACACAUGGUGUUGCCAAAGGCAAAAUCACUUCGAUGAUCUCUCUCCAUUGCUUUUGCUGCUCUUUUUUUUUCCCACAUUUCUCUUUUUUCUGUGGCUCAGAGGCGGUUAAACUCAGGUGGGGAAGAAGCCGAGGGUUUGGAACGGUUUGUGUGUGUGGAGGCCGGGAACAAAGAGAUAGAUAAUGAGAAGAAAGAUCUGGGAAAGAUAGGGUCCCCAGGGUUUGUUUUGGGUCGUUGGAUGAUUGGAAAACCCUAUAUCUUGAUGAUCAGUUGGGUAUAAACUCGUAAAGGGUAAAAUGGUAUGUGUGUUUUUGAGUGCUGGUGAGUUAACUCUGCCAAAAAAAUGGGUGUAUAUGAGGUUUCUUUUAGAUCUGACUUACAGUGAGGAGUAUUUAUAUACCAUUUUCAGUGUGAAAUCUAGUUCUUUUGGUGUUUCUUUUGGCUUUUUCUGUGUAAAAACAGCGAACACAUCUAAAGAGGAACAUGGAAGAGAGUCAAGAAACUGACAGAAGAGAGUGAGCACACGCUUCCAGCAAUCGUAUGAGGGCAUACCUUUGCGAGUGCGUGCUCACUUCUCUUUCUGUCAGCUUCCCAUUUUAACCGUGUCUUCCUCUUUCUUCUUCUCCUCCUCCGUUCUUCUUCUCUGUCUGUCUUUCUCCGAGUAUUUAUCUUUCGCCCAAAAAAAGCUUCCUUGCAGCUGACUUUUCUUAUAUAUAUAUAUAUAUAUAUAUAUAUAUUCAUCUGGGUGUUUCUCAUUCUCUUUAAGAUAAAAAGGGCAGAAGUGGACAAGAGGCAAAAGAGAUGGGGCACCCGGAAAUGACACAGAGAGACGGCGCCCCUCGAACACAUCGUGAUGCUGUAUAUUCCUUCUCAUCCUUACGCUCUCGUCCUUCUCUCUCGCUGAUGUGUUGCUGUUUUUAAUGCCUGUAUAUGUUGUGGUUUUAUAAAUUUGACAAGUGGAAGAAUGUCGGCAUGAAGUUCUAUCAGAAAGAAGUUGCAGACAGAACCGACCUAUCUAUUUUAGCCCAUUCUUAUCCACUCUCUGCUGCUACAUUAUCUGUCUUUUAUUUUUUUUUUAAUUGGUUGUACUCUUUCAUUCCUAUUACCCUGCAUCAAAUAUUUUAUUAUUAUCAUUGUUAUUAGCGUUGUUAAUUGUGAUUGAGCUGGAGAGCGUGACUUUUGAUGGUACUCUUUGGGAGAGAGGACGACGGAUGCAGAUCUUGAAGGUACGUCUGGUUAGUACUGUUCUUGUUUUAACGGAAAAUCUUAUAGUGGAUCACCCGUAUUAACGAUUCACGUUAUUUGCUUGGUUUCAUCAAACCCUUAUGUUUUCACUUUCUUUCUUCUUCUUCUUCUUCUUCUUCUUCUCUCACUGGUCGACCAUGCAAGGCAACGGGCAUGUUUGGAAGAGGUUUCGCCCAUCAUUUCGCCUUGGUCUAAUAUAAUCUCGUAUAAGAGGUGUUUUUUGGAAGUGGGUCUGUGCAGACACUGCUAAAUAUGGAAAAAAAAAAUGAUCUUUCCGGAGUCUGGGCGGAGAUGCACCUUUCCCCGUAUCAGGAAUAAAGCCUUCGAAGAGGGGAUCUGCUUUAUGGCAACAAUUAAGCCUCUUGUUAUUCUCUCUCGGUGUUGGGGGCAAACUGCAGCUUCCGUCUGUAUUAGGGUAAUCACUCAGAAUAGGAAUGGAAGAGGACAUGAUGUGAAGCAUGAUAUAAAAUUCAGGAGAGAGUGAAUGAGUCUGCAGAAUAUCAGUCUGAUUCAAGCAGCGCCACUUAUCCUUUUCCAGCAAGAAAAGCAUGCAAGAAGUGGUAGCGAUGUCUUCACAAAAUUCAGAAGGUGUUGUACUACAGCAGAAUGGCCACUGUUGCGCACAAAUAUUCAAUUGCCAAUCACCAUUGGAUUUGGUUUGGGACUUUCCAUUCAGAAAAGGAAGCCGGUAGCCAUAUAUGGCUAAUUAUGAUAGUGCAGAUAUGAAGCUUCGGUUGUGCAGAUAUUUCUGUUGAAGAGCCGAACUUUCAAAAAAAUAUAUAUAUAUAUAUACAGUGCUGAAGCUGUCCCAUGCACCUUGCUGAGACAGACCAUGGUUUGAACAUGGCUAGGGCGCAAAGCAGCGAGGGGCUUUUGUACAUAAAAACAACUUUUUCACAAGUAGGAGCUUAAUAGAGUACUUGUCAUCCCCAGGAAAUUGCCAUCAAAUACAUGCUUCCCACCUACUUCUGAAACUGCUGCAGAUAAUGCACAAGGGGCCAGGCACCAUGGAAGCAGCUCGUGUGCUGCUAACUUCCUCAUGUUACAGGUCGAUGAGGAUAUGCAAAUUUCUCUACCGCUAUUGGAAGAGCAGCCAGAGUUUUGUCUUUACAAGGGGUUGGAACAGGUUUGUGAACGAAAAUCCUUUGAAGCCUAAGGCUGGCUAAGGAUAUGUCUUAGUACUUUCUCUUCGUGUGCGUGCAAAUUUAAGGAAUGGCGAAAGUUGCUUACUCCUUAUUAAUCUACAUGAUUGAUUUUGUAACAGAGGCAAAAACACUGACAGCUAUAUAGAAUUGGUUGAGCAGGCUGAUCAGCAUCAUUGUCGGAAUGCAAUUGGAACCAAAACUUGAAGUAAACUUGAAGAGGAAAAGGAGCUGAAGCCACACAAGCUAUAACACAAUAUCCAAGAUACAAGUGAAUGCAAAAUGAUUCUAUUUACAUCAUUGUAUUUGCAAUCUAAUAGUACUACUUGUGAAGUUGGUAGGUUGAACUUUUUAAGAGUCAUGAUCAAAGACUGAACGAGUACUACAGAUUUUUUUCAGGAAUCAAUGUGAUGCCCAGUACUGAUCAA